GUGCGUUGGUCUCUGGCACGAGACUGUGAGCGCCUGGAGCGCGGGAAGUGGCCUCUCUGGCUGGGUACCCAGCGCGCAGCGUGGGGUUUGACAUGUAGGAGCUCUGAAUAAUAAGCAACAAAAAGUGUAUGGGGGUCGGGGGUAGCUCGGAGGGAGCGUACUGAAUACGGUUGCCUAAUCCAGUCCAGAGAGGAAAUGGCACCUCCUUCCUUAAAUGAAGAUACUGCAUUAAAACAUAUUUUGCAAUUAAAGUGUCAGUAAAGAAAUGACUUGAGUUCAAACCAAUAAAUCAGCCAAACAUUC